ACCAUGCUGAAUAUACCGGUUCUCGUUAGAUCACCGAAGUCAAGCAUCAUUGGGCGCGGUCAGUACUUGGGUGGGUGACCACCUGGGAACACUGCGUGCCGUU